GUGGGGACUGGAGCUCAGGGUCCGCAGGGGACGGGCAGCGACGGAGCUCGCAGCAGCCCGGGGGACUCUACGCUGGAGCAGCGGUGCUGCUGCUGCCCCCGGCGGCGGGAUGCUCGGCGCUGGUGGAGCCCCAGCUCCUCGGGAAUGCUGGGAAUGUUGAGUCAGGGACUGGCAUCCCAGACAGCCGGGCUCGCAGCUGACUGAGGGAGACUCGCUGAGGGACAGAAAGACGAGGGACGGGAGCCCAGGAGCAUCCCCCGGCUGCAGCGGGUCCCCUCGGCUCCUCCGGCUCUCCCUGCCGCCUCCUUCCCCGGCGCGAAGGAGAUGUCAGCUAAACGCGAUGCUGUAAAAUCCCUGCGAGGACGCAAGGCAGAUGCAGUGAUUUGAAAGGUCUCUGCCUUUGGAGGAACCUGUGGAUUUUUGUCUACUGGGAGAAUGCAGUGAAACUGCCAAUAUUUCUAGCUGGAAUUAUAGAUUUAUUAUUAAACUUUAGUGUUACUAAUUUCUUACUAAAUAGUACCUCAAAGUAGAAGAAAAAUGUACGGAAGUGCAAGAACAAUCGGUAACUUAGAAGGAAGUCCCUCCAGAUCUCCUCGCUUGCCAAGGUCUCCUCGCCUGGGCCAUAGGCGAACGAGCAGUGGAGGAGGAGGAGGAACAGGUAAGACGUUAUCAAUGGAGAACAUCCAGUCCCUUAAUGCAGCCUAUGCAACAUCUGGACCAAUGUAUCUGAGUGACCAUGAAGGUGUAGCUUCUACUACUUUCCCAAAGGGCACAAUGACUCUUGGAAGGGCUACAAAUCGAGCUGUGUAUGGUGGUCGAGUCACAGCUAUGGGGAGCAGUCCUAAUAUUGCUUCAGCUGGACUUUCGCACACAGAUGUCCUUUCUUAUACCGAUCAGCAUGGAGGUCUGACCACAUCUUCGCACCAUCACCACCAUCAGGUUCCUUCUAUGCUGAGACAGGUUAGAGAUAGUACCAUGUUAGACCUACAGGCACAGCUUAAGGAGCUACAGAGGGAGAACGAUCUUCUCAGAAAAGAACUAGACAUUAAGGACAGUAAGCUGGGAUCCUCCAUGAAUAGCAUCAAAACUUUCUGGAGUCCUGAGCUAAAGAAAGAAAGAGUGUUGAGGAAAGAAGAAGCAGCCAGAAUGUCAGUUCUUAAAGAACAAAUGAGAGUUUCCCAUGAAGAAAAUCAGUUUUUGGAUGCCAGGAGAACAAAGCAUCUGCAAAUGACAAUCCAGGCACUUCAAGAUGAGCUUAGAACCCAGAGAGACCUUAACCAUCUUCUUCAGCAAGAAAGUGGAAACCGAGGGGCUGAGCAUUUUACUAUUGAGCUCACAGAGGAGAAUUUCCGAAGACUUCAAGCGGAACAUGAUAGACAAGCUAAAGAGCUCUUCCUGUUGAGGAAAACUCUAGAAGAAAUGGAGCUUAGGAUUGAAACACAAAAGCAAACGCUAAAUGCCAGAGAUGAAUCAAUAAAAAAGCUGCUGGAAAUGUUGCAGAGUAAAGGUUUGCCAUCUAAAGGAAUGGAAGAUGACAAUGAGAGAACUCGAAGGAUGGCAGAGGCUGAAUCUCAGGUUAAUCAUUUAGAAGUGAUUUUAGAUCAGAAGGAGAAGGAAAACAUGCAUCUUAGAGAGGAAUUACAUAGAAGAACCCAACUUCAGCCUGAGCCAGCAAAGACGAAGGCUCUUCAAACAGUUAUUGAAAUGAAGGAUACAAAAAUAGCUUCACUUGAGCGCAAUAUAAGAGAUCUUGAAGAUGAAAUACAGAUGUUAAAGACAAAUGGAGUUCUGAAUACAGAGGACCGAGAAGAAGAAAUCAAACAAAUAGAAGUUUACAAGAGUCACUCUAAGUUCAUGAAAAAUAAGAUUGACCAACUGAAACAAGAACUCUCAAAGAAAGAAUCAGAACUUCUUGCCUUACAAACUAAGCUUGAAACCCUUAGCAAUCAGAAUUCAGAUUGCAAGCAACACAUUGAAGUGCUUAAAGAGUCACUUACUGCCAAAGAACAGAGAGCUGCCAUACUUCAGACAGAGGUUGAUGCCUUGCGGUUACGAUUGGAAGAAAAAGAAACUUUUCUGAAUAAAAAAACAAAACAACUUCAAGACCUCACAGAAGAGAAAGGAACUCUGGCUGGAGAGAUUCGGGAUAUGAAAGACAUGUUGGAAGUAAAAGAAAGAAAGAUUAAUGUCCUUCAAAAAAAGAUUGAAAAUCUACAGGAGCAACUUAGGGACAAAGACAAACAACUAACUAAUCUCAAAGAUAGAGUGAAGUCGUUGCAGACGGAUUCUAGUAACACAGAUACAGCACUAGCAACCUUAGAAGAAGCUCUGUCGGAAAAGGAAAGAAUAAUAGAGCGCUUGAAGGAGCAAAGGGAGCGAGAUGACAGAGAAAGACUUGAAGAAAUUGAAUCUUAUAAAAAAGAAAACAAAGACCUGAAGGAGAAAGUUAAUGCUUUACAGGCUGAACUGACAGAAAAAGAGUCUAGUUUAAUCGAUCUCAAAGAACAUGCAUCUUCAUUGGCAUCAGCAGGGCUGAAAAGAGACUCCAAACUUAAGUCUUUAGAAAUAGCCAUAGAACAAAAGAAAGAAGAGUGUAGUAAGUUGGAAGCACAGUUGAAAAAGCAAGCUGAACAGUUGUUCAAUCAGAUGUACAAUCCAAUGCCAAUUAGGAAUAAUGGGAAGCAAGGGGCUCAUGAAGCUGAAGAGGAGGCACGGAUGAAUCCAGAAUUUGCAGACAGAAUGAAACAGCUUGACAAAGAGGCAUCGUACUAUAGAGAAGAAUGUGGCAAAGCUCAGGCUGAGGUUGACAGACUUCUAGAAAUACUCAAGGAAGUAGAGAAUGAGAAGAAUGACAAAGAUAAGAAAAUUGCUGAGUUAGAAAGCUUGACUUCCAGACAUAUGAAGGACCAAAACAAGAAGGUUGCCAAUCUGAAGCACAAUCAGCAAAUGGAGAAAAAGAAGAAUGCACAGUUGUUGGAAGAAGUUCGUAGACGAGAGGACAAUAUGACUGACAACGCUCAACAUUUACAAGUAGAAGAGUUGAUGAACGCACUGGACAAGACUAGACAAGAAUUAGAUUCUACCAAAGCCCGUCUUGCCUCAACACAGCAGUCUUUGGCUGAAAAAGAAGCACAUCUGGCUAACCUGAGAAUAGAGCGAAGAAAACAGCUUGAAGAAAUUCUAGAAAUGAAACAAGAAGCUUUGCUUGCUGCAAUUAGCGAAAAAGAUGCAAACAUUGCCUUGCUUGAGCUGUCGGCUUCAAAGAAAAAGAAGACUCAAGAUGAAGUAAUGGCUCUUAAACGAGAGAAGGACAGAUUAGUGCAUCAGUUAAAACAGCAGACACAAAACAGAAUGAAACUGAUGGCAGAUAACUACGAUGAUGACCAUCACCACUACCACCACCAUCACCACCACCAUCACCAUCGAUCUCCUGGGAGGCCACAGCACUCCAACCACAGACCCUCUCCAGAUCAGGAUGACGAGGAGGGUAUAUGGGCAUAGCCGCUCCUGUAAACCAAAGUUCCAGUUUUGUUUUGAGGGAUGAUCCAGUCACUGUUGGAGGCACAUAGCCACGGCAAAAUCUCAUGCUGUACAUUGAUCACCUGUCCAACCUUUGCCUAGAGUGUGAUCCCCAGUUCCUUCAAGAGAUCCAUCUUUACCUGUCUAUAAAGAAGAAGAGGAGGAGGGAGACAUCUGGGAUAUUCGAGUAUCAAAGUUUAACACCAGAGCAGUUGUCAGAGGAACUAGCAAAGAGGAAGAAAACAAUGUAGCAGUGGAAGGUAAUGAUGGUAAUCUAUUGCAUUGGAUCUCCAAACAUGACCAUGAUAUCCUGGAGAAGAUCACAGAUGCAGAAAAUUAAUGCUAAGGUUGAUACCUAAUGAAAUGCUGCAUUAAUUGGCAUUUUCUCCAUUAUUUUUUGUAGUCUAUUCUGAAAUUAGAUACUUUGGAAAAUAAUGAAGGAACUCAAGCAGAAAUUGAGUUGAAGCAAGAUCUUCAUUUCUGUUUUUAGAGGGUCUUGCAAGUUACUCUGUUUUCACAAAGAAACCAUCUGUUCAGAAUAUUAUUUUUUAAUGAAGUUUGGUUAAACAGGUUAUUUAACUAAUUUUUGGUAAAUUGAUAUUGAUUUCUAUGAGUAAUUCAGAUUCUCUUAGGUGUGGUAUCUGCAUUUGCUGAUUAUACCUAGUCUAUUCUAAAGUAUCAUUUCUAUUGCACUAGAUUAUCAAAGAGGUAUUAGUAAAUUGCUAUAAAAGGGUGUUGGCAUUAAUCUUACCCCCAGUUAGAUGUGGGCUUUUCCAAAUGAUAAACCCCAAGCCUUUACCCUCCUCUGUUUUCUUACAUCUACUGAUAAAAUAAUAACAAUUAAAAACAAAACCAAAAAAACAUUGAUAGUAUAACCGGUAUUAAGCUCUGGGCCAGGUUGGAAAUGAAAUCAAUUUUUGGUACUAAUAACUGAUGACAAAGAUUAGAUUUAUGAAAAUAUGGUGUGUGUCUCUGACAAUGCAUAGGACAUCUAAUUUGAGCAUAAAUAUAAUAUAAAUAAGAUUAUAUACAAGAUGUAUCUAUUCCUGGAUGGUAAAAGCUUGAGGUGUAUGUAAAUAUAUAUGUAUGUGUAUAUAUGGGCAUAUACACAAGGACGUAUCAACCUUUUACCAUCCAAAUCCAUACAGGUUUUCAACAAUAAAAGCUGGGACUCUUUAAAAAAAGAAAAAACACACAAAAAUAAGAUAAAAUUGCUGUGAAUACAGUAUAUGCACUAGGUCUCCUGUAAAUGAGGAACUGUUUGUUAUUGUUUUCUGCAUUGAGAAACAAUCUCCAAUGAAUCUUUGAUGUUAAAGAAAAUACCAAUGAACAAACAGCUCUUAAAGGCUGUUUGUAUCAACAAAAUGUAUCUGGUAAAACAAAUUUAAAGCACAUGAAAGGAAAAAAAAACCAACAUGUGAAGUCAUUACAUUCAGUAAGAGAAUAUAACUGAUAGUCAAAUCACUACCACUUCUCAAGGAGAGGAUCCUAAUGACUCCACGAACAUUUUCAGCCAGUCUGGCAAACGUGCAAAUGUGUGGCUAUUUUAUUGAGGCAUCUUUUUGUCCAUGGAAGAAAUGCUUCCAUGCUGAUGGGAGUUGGAAUAGAAUAUCUGCAUUUUUAAAGGACAAACAAUAAAUUUAAGCAUGGGUGGCCUUAAUCCUUCGUAGUUUUUCUUUGCUGCUGUAAAAAAAAAAGAUAAAUCAAAAUGGAUACUCCUGAAGUCUUGCACUGAACUUAGAAAAAUUAUUUUUUGAACCUGUGGUGCAAUCAACCCUAAACAUCCUACAUGAGCCAUACGUAUAGUAACCCCUUUAAAAUUAUUGUCUAGAGAUUAUAUUUUAUUUAUUUGUACCAUGAUUCUUGGUGCAAUCAAAGAGCAAUUUAUUCGAGCAGAGGUCCUGCUGGAUGCUACUGUCUUCAGUAAAUAGAGUAAAAUGUAUAGAAUUAGUAUAGCAUAGAUAAUCCCGAUUUCAUUCAUGUUUAAAAAGUUUGUCCUUUAACUAUCAAUGGCAUUUUAGAUCUUUGUUUUUAAAACUGCAAAGCUUUUGGGAGUAUAUUUAGCACAUAUGACAAAUGUUGCACUUGGAAACUCAGACAACAAAACUAGUUUCUCAUGACAAAUUUGUUGUCACAGUAGGGGACAAUCAUCUGUGUCUCUUACAAUCAGGUCUUUACCUUAACUCUGCAACUGAAUACUUGAAGUAAGAAAUAAACUAGGGGGGAAAAAUAGGGUCACAGAUACAAAGCUGUAUAGUUAGAUAUUUAUAUGUAUGUGCCAAUUUUGUCACAGAUAUUAUUUUAGGGGCAUUUUUGCUCCACUCAUGUUGUUAAAAGUAUUGAUCUAAACUUUUAUCAGGGCCUACAAGUUAGCCCCUAAAGAGAAAGUUUUCCCUAAAAAGAAAGCUCCUCCUUUCUUCCUUUCUUCCUUUCCUCCUUUCUUCCUUUCUUCCUUUCUUCCUUUCUUCCUUUCUUCCUUUCUUCCUUUCUUCCUUUCCUCCUUUCUUCCUUUCUUCCUUUCCUCCUUUCUUUUUCUCUUCCCUUCUUCCUUUCUUCCUUUCCUUUCUUUUUCUCUUCCUUUCUUUCUUUCUCUUUUUUUGUUCUUUCUUUUCAUUUCGUGUAUUACUCUAUGAUGUCUGGAGAAAAUCUUUUCAUAUACUAAAAUAGAAUCUCGGGGUUUACAAUAAACACUGUGAUGUUGGGAAAUAUUUUAUUUGAGCAAUGUUUGGUAGGUUUUUUCCCCCCUUUAGGUGUAAAGAAGUGAACCAACUUUUGGUUAACGUUUAAGAUAACGAUUAUUAUUUUAAUGUGAGAUCAGUCUUGUACUGCAUUUUUUCUUUCAUUUAAAUGUACAGUAUGAAUUUUGUAUUUAAUGAAUUUUGUGUAUCCAGUAUGCACGUACCUGCACAUCGACUUUCAUUUGAAAGUGGGUUUCGAUUUAUUUUUUAAACAGUGUUUAUGAAAAGACCUCAGAUGUGUCGACAUAAACUAUAUCUGCAAUGUUAUUUUUGUGUGUGUAGGGUGACGUUUGAAUGUGAUGUUCUGCAGCAAUGGGUCAGUAUUCCCUAUCUACCUUAGAUCAUCAUUCUAUAGUGCUUCUUGUAAUAUUUUUUUCAAGUGAGUGGCAUGUUCUGGAUUGUGAUAUCGAUAUAUGGUUAAGGACAUUGAUAUGAAACUAAGGAAUUCCUAGAAAUUACCAGUGGGCAUGUAAUAGACAGUCAUUGUAACUUAAUGUCUAGUAAAGUGUAAAGUACUAAGGUAUUUAGAAUUCAUAACAUUGUUAUCAUGUGUAUGGGAAGUAUUUAGUGUUGAUCAGCUUGUUUAUAUUCAUCAAAUAAACUUUGU